GGGUCUGUAGCUCAGUGGGAGAGCACUGCGUUUGCACCGCGGCGGUAGGGGUUCGACUCCCCUCGGAUCCA
rnacentral:tRNA from 1 species